GCAAGCCUGAUGCAGCGACGCCGCGUGAGGGAUGACGGCCUUCGGGUUGUAAACCUCUUUCAGUAGGGAAGAAGCGUAAGUGACGGUACCUGCAGAAGAAGCGCCGGCUAACUACGUGCCAGCAGCCGCGGUAAUACGUAGGGCGCAAGCGUUAUCCGGAAUUAUUGGGCGUAAAGAGCUCGUAGGCGGUUUGUCGCGUCUGCUGUGAAAGACCGGGGCUCAACUCCGGUUCUGCAGUGGGUACGGGCAGACUAGAGUGCAGUAGGGGAGACUGGAAUUCCUGGUGUAGCGGUGAAAUGCGCAGAUAUCAGGAGGAACACCGAUGGCGAAGGCAGGUCUCUGGGCUGUAACUGACGCUGAGGAGCGAAAGCAUGGGGAGCGAACAGGAUUAGAUACCCUGGUAGUCCAUGCCGUAAACGUUGGGCACUAGGUGUGGGGGACAUUCCACGUUUUCCGCGCCGUAGCUAACGCAUUAAGUGCCCCGCCUGGGGAGUACGGCCGCAAGGCUAAAACUCAAAGG
rnacentral:rRNA from 1 species